rnacentral:rRNA from 1 species
GCAAUACAUCGUCAGCGACUGAACGAAAGCAUUAAGUGAUCCACCUGGGAAGUACGAUCGCAAGGUUGAAACUCAAAGGAAUUGACGGGGGCCCGCACAAGCGGAGGAGCAUGUGGUUUAAUUCGAUGAUACGCGAGGAACCUUACCUGGGCUUAAAUGCAGGACGACCGUCCGUGAAAACGGACUUUCCUUCGGGACGGCUUGCAAGGUGCUGCAUGGUUGUCGUCAGCUCGUGCCGUGAGGUGUCGGGUUAAGUCCCAUAACGAGCGCAACCCCUAUUCUUAGUUGCCAUCAGGUAAUGCUGGGGACUCUAAGAAAACUGCCUACGCAAGUAGUGAGGAAGGCGGGGAUGACGUCAAAUCAGCACGGCCCUUAUGUCCAGGGCUACACACGUGCUACAAUGGCCGGUACAGAGGGUCGCUACCUGGUGACAGGAUGCUAAUCUCGAAAACCGGUCUCAGUUCGGAUCGAAGUCUGCAACUCGACUUCGUGAAGCUGGAUUCGCUAGUAAUCGCAUAUCAGCAAUGGUGCGGUGAAUACGUUCCCGGGCCUUGUACACACCGCCCGUCAAGCCAUGGAGGCUGGGGGUACCUGAAGUCUGUGACCGCAA